AGAGUUUGAUCAUGGCUCAGAUUGAACGCUGGCGGCAUGCCUGACACAUGCAAGUCGAACGGCAGCGCGGGCUUCGGCCUGGCGGCGAGUGGCGAACGGGUGAGUAAAACAUCGGAACGUGUCCAUUAGAGGGGGAUAGCCCGGCGAAAGCCGGAUUAAUACCGCAUACGCUCUACGGAGGAAAGUGGGGGACCCUCGGGCCUCACACUAAUGGGGCGGCCGAUGGCAGAUUAGCUAGUUGGUGGGGUAAAUGCCUACCAAGGCGACGAUCUGUAGCUGGUCUGAGAGGACGACCAGCCACACUGGGACUGAGACACGGCCCAGACUCCUACGGGAGGCAGCAGUGGGGAAUUUUGGACAAUGGGGGCAACCCUGAUCCAGCAAUGCCGCGUGUGUGAAGAAGGCCUUUGGGUUGUAAAGCACUUUUGUUCGGAAAGAAAGCAUCUACGCGAAUAACGUAGAUGGAUGACGGUACCGGAAGAAUAAGCACCGGCUAACUACGUGCCAGCAGCCGCGGUAAUACGUAGGGUGCAAGCGUUAAUCGGAAUGACUGGGCGUAAAGGGUGCGCAGGCGGUUUGUUAAGACGGAUGUGAAAGCCCUAGGCUCAACCUGGGAAUGGCAUACGUGACUGACAGACUAGAAUAUGGCAGAGGGAGGCGGAAUUCCAUGUGUAGCAGUGAAAUGCGUAGAGAUGUGGAGGAACACCGAUGGCGAAGGCAGCCUCCUGGGCCAAUAUUGACGCUCAGGCACGAAAGCGUGGGGAGCAAACAGGAUUAGAUACCCUGGUAGUCCACGCCCUAAACGAUGUCAACUGGUUGUUAGGGGAAUUUUCCUUAGUAACGUAGCUUACGCGUGAAGUUGACCGCCUGGGGAGUACGGUCGCAAGACUAAAACUCAAAGGAAUUGACGG
rnacentral:rRNA from 1 species